GGGCGUGUAGUUCAGUGGUAGAACGCGUUCCUGAUAAGAACGAGGUCCUAGGUUCGAUCCCUAGCACGCCCA
rnacentral:tRNA from 1 species